ACAAUUGUCGAUCAGUCGGUUUCGGAGCGUGCACACUGGUACCCGAAAGAUGGUGAACUAUGCUUGAGCAGAAUGAAGCCAGAGGAAACUCUGGUGGAAGUUCGUAGCGGUGUUGACGUGCAAAUCACUCGUCUGACUUGAGUGUAGGGGCGAAAGACUAAUCGAACCAUCUAGUUGCUGGUUCCUUCCGAAGUUUCCCUCAGGAUAGCUGGCAUUUGUUUGUAACAAUUUUAUCCGGUAGAGCGAAU
rfam:Trichinella spiralis unplaced genomic scaffold Scfld2110, whole genome shotgun sequence.